rnacentral:lncRNA from 1 species
AAGUUUCCACAGAAACUGUAAUGUUACCUAAAACUUCUUACAAGUCACUUGGCCGGCCCACAUGAAAGAACCACAGUGUACCAGACCUUCGACCAGAGAACAGAUUUUGUGUCAUGUUGUACACGCUAUUCAGUUUGGAAAUCUACCAAUUGGAUUAAAACCAAGAUAUGUUACUUAAAAAGAAUACAUCUGAUAUUAUCACCCACGAUCUUUUGUGCUGAGGAAAAAAAAUGACACACUGGCUGCUGACUUUCUUCAAUGAAAAUAUAAAAGAACAACUUAUUUAUCCUCUGCUAACUGGCUUGUUUUUCAGAGACUGAAUGAUUUCAUCGGAUGUUAAAAGAAUGGGAAAGAGCAGGAGCUCGAAGUAUGAAGUCUGAUCUUUGACUCAUCCAACCUAGGUGUGACCACUCAUCAAAAUGUCAUGUGCAGGCUCCAAAGCCAUUAGGAAUUCAAUAAAUCCACUUACCUCUCCUCU